UGGGGAAUAUUGCACAAUGGGCGAAAGCCUGAUGCAGCGACGCCGCGUGAGGGAUGACGGCCUUCGGGUUGUAAACCUCUUUCAGCAGGGAAGAAGCGAAAGUGACGGUACCUGCAGAAGAAGCGCCGGCUAACUACGUGCCAGCAGCCGCGGUAAUACGUAGGGCGCAAGCGUUGUCCGGAAUUAUUGGGCGUAAAGAGCUCGUAGGCGGUUAGUCGCGUCUGCUGUGAAAACUCGAGGCUCAACCUCGGGCUUGCAGUGGGUACGGGCUGACUAGAGUGCGGUAGGGGUGACUGGAAUUCCUGGUGUAGCGGUGGAAUGCGCAGAUAUCAGGAGGAACACCGAUGGCGAAGGCAGGUCACUGGGCCGCAACUGACGCUGAGGAGCGAAAGCAUGGGGAGCGAACAGGAUUAGAUAGCCCUGGUAGUCCAUGCCGUAAACGUUGGGCACUAGGUGUGGGGU
rnacentral:rRNA from 1 species